GGAGUUGCGGCAGCAGCGUGGCACUAUCUCUCAGGAUGUGUUGCUGUUGACGGUGAGGGACCGCCAGGAGCCGCUGGGCAGCGGGGGGGCCACGCUGAACGCCCUGCUGGUCGCUGCUGAACACCUGAGCAACAGAGCUGGACACACCGUGGUGACGGCGGACGUCCUGGAUGAAGCUCACGUCCUCAUCCUGCACACGGGUCGGGACUUCCCCUGGAGCUCG